rnacentral:rRNA from 1 species
UACGUAGGGGGCAAGCGUUGUCCGGAAUUAUUGGGCGUAAAGCGCGCGCAGGCGGUCCUUUAAGUCUGAUGUGAAAGCCCACGGCUCAACCGUGGAGGGUCAUUGGAAACUGGGGGACUUGAGUGCAGAAGAGGAAAGCGGAAUUCCACGUGUAGCGGUGAAAUGCGUAGAGAUGUGGAGGAACACCAGUGGCGAAGGCGGCUUUCUGGUCUCUAACUGACGCUGAGGCGCGAAAGCGUGGGGAGCAAACAGG